rnacentral:lncRNA from 1 species
GGGAAGGAAGGAAGGGGCAUGAUGGGGGUAGGAGGGAUCAGAUGCUCGCUUUCACAUUCUCCAGUGUGUGCCGUCUCGGAUGGAGCUCUCACUGUUCUUGUCUGGAGAACUUGUUCAGCUGCUCUCCAGAUGCUUCCGUAUUGUGCGAGCAAGAUCCCCCCCUUUUUUUUCUAAUGGGUGCCUAACUUUGUUCGUGGCUCGAUGACCAGUACUAGACUCUCUAGUACUACUACUACUAUAAACAGAUGUUCGGUAGCUAGGAACUGAUUGGUCUAUGCAGAUGCCUCUGUAACUAACCAAAUGGUUCCUUGC